rnacentral:rRNA from 1 species
UGAGGAAUCUUGCACAAUGGGGGAAACCCUGAUGCAGCAACGCCGCGUGGAGGAAGACGGCCUUCGGGUUGUAAACUCCUUUUAUUUGGGACGAACAUUGACGGUACCAAAUGAAUAAGAGGUGGCUAACUAUGUGCCAGCAGCCGCGGUAAUACAUAGACCUCGAGCGUUAUCCGGAUUUACUGGGCGUAAAGCGUGCGUAGGUGUCUUUUUAAGUCUCUGGUGAAAUCUCCGGGCCCAACUCGGAAACUGUCAGAGAAACUGGAAGGAUAGAGUACGGCAGAGGCAGACGGAAUUCUCAGUGUAGCGGUAAAAUGCGUAGAUAUUGAGAAGAACACCGAUGGCGAAGGCAGUCUGCUGGGCCGUUACUGACACUGAGGUACGAAAGCGUGGGGAGCGAACGG